rnacentral:rRNA from 1 species
GACGAACGCUGGCGGCGUGCUUAACACAUGCAAGUCGAGCGGUAAGGCCCUUUCGGGGGUACACGAGCGGCGAACGGGUGAGUAACACGUGGGUGACCUGCCCUCAGCUCUGGGAUAAGCCUGGGAAACCGGGUCCAAUACCGGAUAUGACUCCAUGACGCAUGUUGUGGGGUGGAAAGCCUUGUGCGGCUGAGGAUGGGCCCGCGGCCUAUCAGCUUGUUGGUGGGGUGAUGGCCUACCAAGGCGACGACGGGUAGCCGGCCUGAGAGGGCGACCGGCCACACUGGGACUGAGACACGGCCCAGACUCCCACGGGAGGCAGCAGUGGGGAAUCUUGCGCAAUGGGCGAAAGCCUGACGCAGCGACGCCGCGUGA